CAGCAGCCGCGGUAACACGGAGGGUGCAAGCGUUAAUCGGAAUUACUGGGCGUAAAGCGCACGCAGGCGGUCUGUCAAGUCGGAUGUGAAAUCCCCGGGCUCAACCUGGGAACUGCAUUCGAAACUGGCAGGCUAGAGUCUUGUAGAGGGGGGUAGAAUUCCAGGUGUAGCGGUGAAAUGCGUAGAGAUCUGGAGGAAUACCGGUGGCGAAGGCGGCCCCCUGGACAAAGACUGACGCUCAGGUGCGAAAGCGUGGGGAGCAAACAGGAUUAGAUACCCGUGUAGUCCCUGUCUCUUAUAC
rnacentral:rRNA from 1 species